rnacentral:lncRNA from 12 species
AUGAAGGAAGCUGAUCAAGGAUGUAACAGCCCCUUAAGAGGCCUGGUGGUUUCAACAUUCCUUCGGAAAGCCCAUCAUUGGGUUAUAAGGAAGCUUAUGCUACUACUGAAUAUGAGUUGCCAUGUGGACAAUGAGAGCCUGCGUGGAGGAGCCUCAAGGAACCAGAUGUAGGAGCAUGUAUUCCUGGGCCUUCCAGAGCAGCCCGACCACCUGCUGAAAGCCGUGAGUGAACACAGCUGAUACCUCGUGGAGCUGAAGAACUGCCCAGUUGUGCCUUACUUGGCUUCUUGACCCAGAGAAUUAGGAGUAAUAACAAAUCAUUAUUUUCCAUCUUGAAGUUUUGAAUUAGUUUGUUACAUGGCAAUAGCUAACUGACACAUUCUUCCCUAGAAAGAAGAUCCUAGAUACACGUCUGUCUCCAUCUCAUAUUGAACAUCAGUGAGCUUUUAUAGCUUAUUUCACUUAAACCUCACCAAAAUACCAAUGAAGUAAUCAGCAUUUAUGUCCACUGUCCAGAUGAGAAUAAAGGAGACUCAGGGUAAAUGAGAUUUGUGCA